rnacentral:misc_RNA from 1 species
AAGUCGUAACAAGGUUUCCGUAGGUGAACCUGCGGAAGGAUCAUUAAUGAAUGUAUAAAUGGCGAAGUCGAGGAAUACAGGGGUAAAACAGCUGGCUGUCGCUGGUCUUGUAAUGAGACAUGUGCACGCUCGCUCCCUGAGGACCUCUUUGACGUCUAUCAUCUCAUCUCUCUCACCUGUGCACCUAAUGUAGGUCUGCAUGGUUUUGGUAAAACAGAACCGUGCUAGAGCCUCUCUCUCUGCAGGGGGAAAGGACGAAAGUACCUAUGUCUUCAAAUACAUCUUCGUGUAGAAAGUCUUUGAAUGUUUUACUAUCAUCGAGUCGCAACUUCUAGGAGAUGCGGGUCUUUGAGUUAAAAGUUUAUUACAACUUUCAGCAAUGGAUCUCUUGGCUCUCA